rnacentral:rRNA from 1 species
GACGAACGCUGGCGGCGUGCUUAACACAUGCAAGUCGAACGGUAAGGCCCUUCGGGGUACACGAGUGGCGAACGGGUGAGUAACACGUGGGUGAUCUGCCCUGCACUUCGGGAUAAGCCUGGGAAACUGGGUCUAAUACCGGAUAGGACCACUGCCUGCAUGGGUGGUGGUGGAAAGCUUUUGCGGUGUGGGAUGGGCCCGCGGCCUAUCAGCUUGUUGGUGGGGUGAUGGCCUACCAAGGCGACGACGGGUAGCCGGCCUGAGAGGGUGACCGGCCACACUGGGACUGAGAGACGGCCCAGACUCCUACGGGAGGCAGCAGUGGGGAAUAUUGCACAAUGGGCGCAAGCCUGAUGCAGCGACGCCGCGUGAGGGAUGACGGCCUUCGGGUUGUAAACCUCUUUCAGUAGGGACGAAGCGCAAGUGACGGUACCUACAGAAGAAGGACCAGCCAACUACGUGCCAGCAGCCGCAGUAA